rnacentral:rRNA from 1 species
AGUUAGAUUGUAUCUAACUUUUAUGCAUAUUCUUAGCAGAAGAAGCAAGAAAGACUAUUAGUCUUUAACUUACUUUAUCAGCCUAAUAUCUUUUAGGUUGGCGGGGUAGGUCUUUAGCUUGCUUCUUAGCAAGGCUUUGCCUUGACGCUAAAGAAGGUAAAAAAGGUAAGCUACUAAGAGCGAAUGGUGGAUGCCUUGGCAAUGGAAGCC